rnacentral:tRNA from 1 species
GGUGGGGUUCCCGAGCGGCCAAAGGGAGCAGACUGUAAAUCUGCCNNCUGCCGUCAUCGACUUCGAAGGUUCGAAUCCUUCCCCCACCACCA